AAGACGAUCCUAGCAGAGCUUCAU
rnacentral:miRNA from 1 species